rnacentral:rRNA from 1 species
UACGUAGGGGGCAAGCGUUGUCCGGAUUUAUUGGGCGUAAAGAGCGUGUAGGCGGCUGGGUAGGUCCGUUGUGAAAACUCGAGGCUCAACCUCGAGACGCCGAUGGAAACCCUCCAGCUAGAGUCCGGAAGAGGAAAGUGGAAUUCCACGUGUAGCGGUGAAAUGCGUAGAGAUGUGGAGGAACACCAGUGGCGAAGGCGACUUUCUGGUCUGUAACUGACACUGAGGCGCGAAAGCGUGGGGAGCAAACAGG